GAGCUGUAAUUUUGCGCGCGCACACAGCAAGAGAUAACAUAAUUCGUACAGAAGCUUUACCUAGUGUGUGUGUGUGUGUGUGUAAGCAUGUGCGUCCCAAAGGAAGUUAUUUUAUGGCAUUCUUUGGUUUGAAGCAGCAAAGUUGUCAACUCGAUCUUACGGUUGAUCAUAUGGGAUCAUGUGAUUGUUCGUUAAUUUCCGUAAUUUUUUUAAUUUCUUUAUGCCUUAUUCUUUAUGU